UAUAAUUUAAGUAAGUUUGCCAUUUAACAUCUUUGUCCAAAAUAAAUUAAUCUGACGUAAGGGUCUUAUCUUUGGAAAAAAAAAAAAAAAAUCAUGGGUUCACUAUUGUGACAAAAAGAUUGCACAGUCUGAGGAAGUGAUGUCAAAAGACAAUGUGUAUAUAAGUAUGAGAACUGAGAGCGAAACCUCUUACUAAAAGAGAAAAAAAAAAUGAUUUUACUCUUGGGCACAUGUCUUGGAUUGCUGUUCAACUUUGUUGAUUUUAAUACAGGUGCUGAUAUAAUUGAAGAAGAAAAGAUAGCCUUCCUUGGAGGGCAUGUGAGUUUGCUGUGCCUUAAUCUGUUGACACAGACAAACUGCAGCAAUGUUACAUGGUUGUCUAAUGAUAAUCCUGCCAUUGAGUUGGUCACCCUUGGUAAACACAAUCCGGACCGGUCACAGAGAGAAGGCAGAGUGCAUCUGAUGUCUAACUGCUCUCUACACAUCAGUGAACUCAAAGCUGCAGAUCAUGGAUGUUACACCUGCCGUCAGUAUUCAGGUGUGCAUGGAAGCAAAAUGCGAGAGGAUGCAAGAAUUUGCUUGACUAUUAAUGAAACUGUCCAUUCCUUGAACAAUAAUGACAGCAGUGAUGACAGAGAAGACCUGUUAAUGAUAAUAAUUGCGUCAGUGCUCAUCGUCGGUGCUUUGUCGGUGACAGCACUCAUCAUUUGGCACAGAUAUCACAGGAGAGGACAAGUGUGGACAUUAUUUAAAAAUCAAAACGUAUUGGAAUUUGAAACCAAAAUAACUGAACAUGAACACAAGAAUGGUGAAGAUGUGCACUACGUUGAGUUAAACCUCAAUGUAAUGAAACCAAGGAAAGUGGACACAGACAAAGUAGUGGACAAUGACCAAAAAACUGAAUAUGCUGUCAUAAAACUCCGCUAA
rnacentral:lncRNA from 1 species